AGAGAACUUCUCCACCGACCCCGUCACCUGGAUUGGAUCACCGACCUCUCCCAAGAGGGGCCUGGCUUCCUCCUCGCUGGGGAAACGGUAGGGAGCUCCCCUAGGUAAAGCCUCUAGGGAGAGUGGCCAGGAGCCGGGUCAGGAAAGGCUCUGGUGCCCAAAGGGCUGCCCGCAGAGGCUGAGGUCCCUGCAAGUGCACAGGGAGGAGAGGUGAGAUCAGAUUCCAGCCGAGUCAGGCUUCCAUGUCAGACUGCGUGUGUUUAUGCAGAGGUGCAACUCAGGAAUUACUGAGGAGAAAGUACAGGGCCAAUUUAACCUCCUCUGAGAGACCUCUAACCCUGCUCAUCACCACUCCUCGCUAAAAAGGGCCCUCUCCAGGGAAGAACCCAGAGGGAGAGCGGGAAUUCUCCUCCCCUUGGAGGAAGAGUGCUUCCUCUACCCUUAAUGUAUCAACUGACAACAAUUCAAACAGAAGGAAACUAGGAUGUGACAAAUAAAGGAAGCCUUUUCAUGCUCUAUGUCCACUGGCGUCGGGCAAGCCCCGGUGGAAGUCCAAGGAAAAGAGUCUAAGACCCAAACAGAUGGUUUGCGCCAAAGUUCUGAAGUGUAUCAGACGUGAAUAAAGGUAUGUUAAUUCUAAAAGGAACUAAAAUAGAAACAUGAUGUGGUUUAGACUCAGGUAUUAAAAAAUGAGCCAUCUCAGAAGUGGAGACCAACUGAAUAUCUUCCUGUAUAACUUCUUCUAUAACUCUUCCAUGCCUCUAUGUUUGGUUGACUUUCACCAGUUUUCCCAGUCUCCAAUGAACCUGAUUCUAUAGGCAGUUACUCUGUGUUCUUUUUGAUGGGAUUCUAAGAAGUGAAGAACAGCAUAGGAACCAAUUUGCUGUGUAAAAUCAGAGAGAGCUCGACUCACUGUGGGUCAGAAACAAAGGGAGACUCUCCAUUGAAAACAGGCUCCCUGAAAGCAGACAUCAGCUAUAAACUGGUUAGGAAUUUAUUAUGAAUUUCCUUUGCAUUCUGAAGCAGAAGGCUUAAAAUUAGGCUCUAAGUCGGAACCCACAGUACCAUUUCCCACAGUAUGACAAGUUUAUAUGGGCAACACAUAUACUUUAGAGUAAUUUGAUCGUCCCAGGCACUAUCUGGAGUGCUUUACACAUGUAGCUGCUUAGUCGUGGCCCCUCAUGGCCUGGCCCUCUGGGUUGGAAUGAUGAGUUGCCAGAGGGUGAAGUCACUUUUGGAUCAUCACGAACACUGAGAGUCGAAAGACAAUGCCAGAGGGUGACGUCACUUCCGGUUCAUCACGAACACAUGGAGAGUCGGAAGAUGACCCUGGGCUUGUCUUCACAUUUUCCGUGUUGUCACUUGCCGGUCCUUUGGAAGCCGACCCUAGAUGUACACUGUCUUGCCGGGACCUUUCUCUUCUCUUCCCCUGUGACCACGCAGGUCUUCGAUUCCCUGCCCCCUGCCCGAGGACCUGCCUCCUCCCUGCCCGAGGACCAAGCUUCAGAAGAACUGCACAUGGGAGGAAAUACCAACCGCUUAACUUCUUCAGAGACAACCUCUAACCCGGCUCACCACCACGCUAGCUAAAAAAGGGCCCUCUCCCAGGGAAGAUCCCGGAGGAAGAGUGGGAAUUCACCCUCCCCUUGGGGGAGGAGUGCUUUCUCUACCCUUAAUUUAUGAACUGAGAAAAAUCCUAACAAGCCUACUAUGAAAUAAAGAUGCCCUUAACCCA
rnacentral:lncRNA from 10 species